GAUGAACGCUAGCGGCAGGCCUAACGCAUGCAAGUCGAGGGAGGAGCUUUCGGGCUUCGACCGGCGUACGGGUGCGUAACGCGUAUACAAUCUGCCUUUCACAUAGGGAUAGCCCGAAGAAAUUUGGAUUAAUACCUAAUGGUAUAUAGAGGUGGCAUCACCUUUAUAUUAAAGCUGAGGCGGUGAAAGAUGAGUAUGCGUUCUAUUAGCUAGUUGGAGAGGUAACGGCUCCCCAAGGCGACGAUAGAUAGGGGUUCUGAGAGGGAUAUCCCCCACACUGGUACUGAGAUACGGACCAGACUCCUACGGGAGGCAGCAGUGAGGAAUAUUGGACAAUGGUCGGAAGACUGAUCCAGCCAUGCCGCGUGCAGGAAGACGGCCUUAUGGGUUGUAAACUGCUUUUGCAGGGGAAGAAUAAGGACUACGCGUAGUUUGAUGACGGUACUCUGCGAAUAAGCAUCGGCUAACUCCGUG
rnacentral:rRNA from 1 species